GCGCAAGCCUGACGGAGCAAGACCGCGUGAGGGAGGAAGGCUCUUGGGUUGUAAACCUCUUUUAUCAGGGAAGAAGAUCUGACGGUACCUGAUGAAUCAGCAUCGGCUAACUCCGUGCCAGCAGCCGCGGUAAUACGGAGGAUGCAAGCGUUAUCCGGAUUUAUUGGGCGUAAAGCGUCCGCAGGUGGUUUUUCAAGUCUGCUGUUAAAGCGCAGAGCUUAACUCUGUAACGGCGGUGGAAACUGAGAGACUAGAGUAUGGUAGGGGUUGCGGGAAUUCCCAGUGUAGCGGUGAAAUGCGUAGAUAUUGGGAAGAACACCAGCGGCGAAAGCGCGCAACUGGGCCAUUACUGACACUCAUGGACGAAAGCUAGGGGAGCGAAAGGGAUUAGAUACCCCUGUAGUCCUAGCUGUAAACGAUGGGUACUAGGUGUUGACCGUAUCGACCCGG
rnacentral:rRNA from 1 species